ACCCUUUUAGUAAUGGCUGUGUUCUUUAACAGGCAGCCUUGCUCGUUAACAUGAGACCAGAGGACUUCCUGGUGGUUUCCCACGUGUUCCUCCAGAACAAUCGGCCCAAAUGAUCCUUAGCCAUGUACUUAACUCUUAACGCUCCAGAAAAACAAGUGGGUGCUCUUUCCAAGUACCCGAAUAGGCCGGAUCUUGAAACAGAUUAACCAGCUGGUCUACCACUGAACUACACACACCGGGCUGUGGGCUUGCUGAGAAGAGUAUAUAAAUUGGCAGACUGCUCCACACUGGCUUUGAAAUCACUAUGGAAUCAAGACUAGUUUCAAACUUAGGAUUCUCCUGCCUCAGUUUUGCAGGUAUGCAUUUCAGAAUUCAUUUCCUGAAAAUGUCCUGAGUACUGGUUGCUAUGCCAUGGGCUUCCUAUGCCUUCUUCACCAAUUCCCUUAGGUACUACCAGCUCCAGAGGAACGAAAUUGAGGCUGAAAAAAAAGUCACCUGCUCAAAACUGCAGAGUUAGAAAGUGACAAGGCUGGGUUACCUGGAUGUGACUCUGAUACCCUUUCUGGAAGAUCUCUAUAGGUAAGAGAGACCAUCUUCUGGUGUUCCUACUACAGCAACGAAGAGCAGUUCUGCUGGAAAGAAAAAUGGUGCCCGUAUCCUGUAGCUAUCCGAGAGCUGAGCAGAGGAAAAAGUGUACCCCCAGGCGAAAGCACAGAAAUCCUACGCAUAUAAAAGCCCCAUGUUGUCUGGAAUGCUGGGAAAUGGCAAAUCCUAAGGCUGCUAGGCGCCUGUGUAGUCUUCACUAGCAACGGACGUUUCUGGCCCAAUCUAGCAAUGUCAGCCUUGGCCAUAACUUACCCAGGAGCACUACAGCUGUCGGAAGGAUAACCUAGGCUUUGCUCUCCACUCAUAGGUGUCUCCACCACAUCCAACCAGGCACAUAAGUAAAUCAUGAAUCUGAAACACUAUGAAUCUAUCAAACAAUGUACCUAUACUUACUCAGUCUGUCAUGGAGAUUUCUUUUUGGGUCAGGGGUGCCUUUGAAAACCCAAUGAGAAUGACUGUUGAUAGUGCAAGACACUGCGUGCAUGAGCAUCUCCAAGGUAGCUCUAUGGGGCCAGACAAGAAGGCCAGCACACUGUCUACAGGUUCUUGACACAGUUCAGAUUGCUAAUCUACGCUAACUGUUCUCAUGCCUUCCAAGAGACAGUACAGACACCGAAAGACUAGACAGUGAGAAAGCCAGCCUUCACAGUGUCAUAGCAAAUGGAAUGGAGCUGGGAGCCAAAAUAAACCUUCUCCCUUAUGUUGCUUUUGGGGAGCUGUUUUAUCAUAGCAACAGGAAUGGAGCUAACCCGAAAUACAAGGCAGAGGAAUACAGAGCCCAACCAGAUGGCAUGGCAGUGGCUGCAGUGAAAAUCGUGGAACCCCUGUCACAUGCAGCUGGAGAGCCCACAGGAACGUCAGUAAGAGCCGGCUGCCGCAACACAGGCAGAAGGAUAAAUGGAUUCUCCAGAGAGGAGGCUGGAGGAGGCUGUGGGAGCAGGGUCCCGGAAACAAGAGGCAAGUUGUCAAGUUUAACUAAAACGAAGAUCACUGGGAGCUGACAGGACACUAAAUAUUUAGAACCCUCCAAUUUGUGCUUAUUGUACAACUAAAGAAAUCAAGCUGCAGCUCUCCUAUGUUGUUCUUUAAGUUUGCAGAAGCUGGGAUGGGGAUUAGGAGUGUUUUCUGAAAGCUUUUAAGACCCUCUGAAAUUAUUAAUUUGGCUGUGGGGGGAGGGCUUUAGGGAGGAACCAACUAAGUUUUACAAAUAAAGAUCCCUUUAACCAGAGCCAG